GUCUAAUUUGCUCAAUGAGGAUUUAAAUUGCCGCGGUAUUUUGACCGUGCAAAGGUAGCAUAAUAAUUAGUUUUUUUAUUGAAAGCUGGAAUGAAUGAUUGGACGAGAGAAUUACUGUCUCUAGGGAAUUUAUUUUUUAAUUUAACUUUUAAGUUAAAAGGCUUAAAUUUGACUCGAAGACGAGAAGACCCUAUAGAGUUUAAUAUACGGGCUUAUUGAAAGUUUUUGGUUAUUUGAUGUUUUUAUAGGCUUGUUUUAUUUAGUUGGGGUGACUUAAAGAUUGACUAAACUCUUUAAAGAUUUUUAUCAUUGAUUUGUGAAUUUUAAAUCUAAAGUUUUUAAAUUUAAGAUAAAUUACCUUAGGGAUAACAGCGUAAUUUCUUUUUAGAGUUCUUAUUGAAAGGGAAGUUUGCGACCUCGAUGUUGGAUUAAAAUUUAUUUUUGGUGUAGAAGCUGAAAAAUUAGGUCUGUUCGACCUUU
rnacentral:rRNA from 1 species